CCUACCCAUAGGUUGGGGACAACUCCGGAACUCGGAGCUAAUACCGAAUAAUAUUCAAAGAACGCAUGUUUUUGAAAUCAAAGGAGGCCUCUCUAUAGAAGCUUCUGCCCAUGGAUGGAUCCGCGUCUGAUUAGCUAGUUGGUGGGGUAAUGGCCUACCAAGGCGACGAUCAGUAGCCGGCCUGAGAGGGUGAACGGCCACACUGGGACUGAGACACGGCCCAGACUCCUACGGGAGGCAGCAGUGGGGAAUCUUCCGCAAUGGGCGAAAGCCUGACGGAGCAAUGCCGCGUGAAUGAAGAAGGCCUUCGGGUUGUAAAGUUCUGUUGAGAAGGAAGAAAGAUCUAAGAGCUAAUACCUCUUAAGUUUGACGGUACUUUUCGAGGAAGCCCCGGCUAACUACGUGCCAGCAGCCGCGGUAAUACGUAGGGGGCAAGCGUUGUCCGGAAUCACUGGGCGUAAAGCGCAUGUAGGCGGGAUAUUAAGUCAGGUGUGAAAACUACAGGCUCAACCUGUAGAUUGCAUUUGAAACUGGUAUUCUUGAGUAUUGGAGAGGAAAGUGGAAUUCCUAGUGUAGCGGUGAAAUGCGUAGAUAUUAGGAGGAACACCAGUGGCGAAGGCGACUUUCUG
rnacentral:rRNA from 1 species